GGGUGGAGUGGGCGAUUUUGAGCGAUUGGACCAGUGAUUGAUUUUUAAGAGUAUUCAUGUACAAUGAAAUCAGUCAAUGUAAACAUAGUUCAAUUUUUUAUAUCAGUAUUUCAUAUAUGACUAAAUUUUCAACGAUUACGAAAAAAUAUGCAAGCAUAAUCUAUGGAAAAGUUUAAAGUCGCUUUUCAAUGGGGUGUCAUAAGGUGUAAUAUGCGAUUGCUUUCGACCAGGCUGUGGAAAUUAUUCUAGACUCGACAAAUUCAAAAUAAAUCGUUUUCAAUAAUUUG
rnacentral:sRNA from 1 species